AUAGAUAAAAAAGUGAGUUGACCGUCAUUCAUCCCCUCGUGGGGGGCGGCGGCUGAAAGUCGGGCGGCUUCCUAAGCGCAGUGGUGCGAUCGCUGCUACUCAGCCGGGGGCCCGGCGGGGCCCGGCGUUCCCAGACCCGGUCCCCGGCCGCCGCGGACCACAGCGGCUGGGGCUUCAUACGCUGCCACCGCGGGGACCUUAGUUUCAACACUCGAGGGAUUUGCUGGAGACUGAGCGCCUGGGAGGGCGUCCUGGGGCCUCAGCUCCUGGAUGGCCCUGCAUUGUGCGGUGGUCCUGCGUUGGACGGCCGGAGGGGGUCGCCCACGAGCAGAGGAAGGAAGGGGACCGCCAGCCUGUGAACGUGGCCUGAGGAACUGACCGUCCCUGUCGGUACUGAGGUUGAGGAGAGGCUGCACGAGGUGGAGAGCCCAGGUGGACCCCGGCCGGGCCACAUCCACGGAAAUCCAGGCCGUCUGCUCAGGGUGAGAGACUCCCUGAUUUUAAGUAGAGAAUGUGACCAGGUUUUGCAUUUGUUUUCUAACGCGUGUUGGUGUGUUGAAAAGCAGUCCCGUGGGAGUAUCGGCAGGAGUGUUAAAAGUUAAUAGAGCCCGUUCUGCCUCCAAAAAAUCCAGGGAAACUAAAGGUGAUUGAAAGCGUAGACCAAGGGGUCAAGAUAAAUUGGGGGGCUGGGCCUCUGUUUUGAUGCAGUGACUGCAGAGCAGCUUGGGCUCUGCCUUCAGAAGAGUCCUGACAGGGACAUCCCCCUACAUGUGGAGAAAAGUCUGGACGGGGGUAAAAAGUUGUUUAAGCGUUAGGUAGAAUGAGUGUUAAAAAUUAAUGCUAAAAGCAUGGGUAUAACAGCUGGGUUUGUUUUUUGUUUUUUAACACUUUUAAGCAAGCAGCAUUUAAGCCGAAAGAGUUAAUACUUUCUUCCCCAAUAAAAGUGUUUUUCUGUUGGCAAAACUUAAAUAAAUUCGUCUUGAAGAAAC